rnacentral:tRNA from 2 species
GCCAUUGUAGCUCAGUUGGUAGAGCACUCGACUUGUAAUCGAGCGGUCAUGGGUUCGAGUCCCAUCAAUGGCU